rnacentral:lncRNA from 10 species
CAGAGUUCUGGGCCCAUGGCUGGCCUGUAGCACUCAACCUAGGAUGCCUCCUGAGACCAGAGAUGGUUCCAGUCCUUCUCUACUGGGGAGAGGCACUUUUGCUGAUGCCCUCUGUUGGCCUCUGCAGAGCCCCCCUUAGCCUCUGCCCUUCCCAACCGGGGAGGCUGCCAGGCACAGGCAAGGUCAGGGUCCCGGCCUUCCCUACCGACCCCAGCUGACAGGGCUCAGGCUAAAUUAAACUAAUUUAGCUUCAUGGAACCUAAGAAUGAAUGGAUGGCCCAGUGACCCCAAAGUGGCUGAAAUAAGAGAAUCAAAAAGCCCUCUGCACCGAGGGCAUAAUGGAAGAUGCUUCUGGGCCCCAACCUGCUCAGUCACAGCUGGGUUGUAAUAAAUGAACACAUUUGGGAACUCUGUUGUAUUUCGCUUCGUCAAAACGAAACAAUGGAAUGUGCCACCCUGGUUCCUAUUGAAAGGCACCCUGGCCCCCAGAACUGCUCUGAAUACCUAGGACUGUAUUAUCAGGAUUUCUCAGAAAUCUCUUCCAAACACAGCUGCCGCUCUUUAGGGAAUGGUUGACUUUAAUUAUUGAGAAUUACUUUAAGAUUCAUGUUUUUCCUCAUGUUACUGAAAAGUAAUCAUUGUAAUAAUGAAGACCACAUGUGUCCUGGGUCUAAUUAUUAAAUCAUUAUAUUGUUAUAUCAUUCCUAUUAGUUGCUUUGGCGAAAGGGUCAAAUGAAAAAAGUCAGGGCAUUCUUUUUUAUGUCGACAUUUUAUUUUCUAUCAAUACAAUUCGCUCCAGCCCGAGACAUGGCAGAAUGGGACGUGAGCUGGCCUGCAUGGGGGCUCGGCUUUGGCCUUCAUGGCGGUUGGGUCCGGAGGGAGGUGAGCAGUGCCCUUGACUGAUGCACUGUCCGUCGCUGCUGGACUAGGGCUGGGACUGGGCCCCAGAGCCAGGGUCUCCAGCGCUGGCAAGGGGGAGCUGCUGGGUCCUUCCUUUCGCUGGGCCUUCUCCUUGGAUCCAUUGGCCCCUGUAGGUACUGCUGUCCGGCCUUCCUGCUUUCCCCAAAGUCCUCAAAA